ACAUUACUCCCUCCGUCCGAAAAUACUUGUCGGAGGAAUGGAUGUAUCUAGUCAUAUUUUAGUUUUAGAUGCAUCCAUUUUUAUCCAUUUGUGCGACAAGUAUUUCCGGACGCAGGGAGUACAAC
rnacentral:pre_miRNA from 1 species